UACGUAGGGUGCGAGCGUUAAUCGGAAUUACUGGGCGUAAAGCGUGCGCAGGCGGCUUCGCAAGUCAGACGUGAAAUCCCCGGGCUUAACCUGGGAAUGGCGUUUGAAACUACGGAGCUGGAGUAUGGCAGAGGGGGUGGAAUUCCACGUGUAGCGGUGAAAUGCGUAGAUAUGUGGAGGAACACCGAUGGCGAAGGCAGCCCCCUGGGCCAAUACUGACGCUCAUGCACGAAAGCGUGGGAGCAAACAGG
rnacentral:rRNA from 1 species